AUAAGGUAAACCAGUCAUAUUAAGUUAAAUGAAAAAAAAACCUCUCUCCUCCCUACAAAGUGAUUUCCGACAGGGACGACAACCUUUUGUUCCGACAACCUUAACUGCUCACAUCUUCAAUCAACAAGUCUUAGUUUAGAUUAGGUUUCUCAAAUCAGAUUUGGCUCAAGAAUAAAAACGGAAAGCAAAACCCGACAGGGAAAAAAAAAUGAAUCAUCGUCUUCUUCAAACCCUAAUUCAACAACCAUGGAUUCAGCAGCUCUCAUCAGCUAAAUCUCGAUUCACCGGCCUUUCUGUGUCAAUUAGGUCUAUUGCUGCCAAUUUGUGAUACCCAAUUUUAUUCUUGGAGUUUUCAUCAUAAUUUUAGGUUCUACUGCUGCUGGUUUUGGGUUCCCUCUAGUUUUUUUUCAUGGUUUGGUCUUCAUCGACAAUCCUUCUGGAUUUGAUUUAUACAUGUAAUAGCCUCUUCAACCUUUUUCUUUGAGAGAGUGGAUUCUACCUUCAAGACUCGAUCGAAGUUAUGGAUCAAGCCGAAAAACAAAGAAGUAGAUAAAUAUAUUUCGGGCAGUUUACCGCAGCAUCAAGAUACAAAGUCAUGACUAGCAACCUCAAUAAAUUGCAUCGGACACCUCUACCUCCACCUCAGUUCAUGUGGACACUGCAGUGCCCAUCAAAAAUACAACUUUUCUUGUGGAAUGCAUUGACCGAAGGCCUUUCGACCUUCGAAACAAACAUCCGCACCCGAUGCAACUAUGAUUUGAAGACUGCUAUUCUGCUCCAAUAUCAUGUUACCGUGGAUUCAUGGCUUACCAAUCUAAUUGUAAUUGAUGAAUCUUGGGGUAUUAAGAACCCUCAUGUAAUAGCCCUUUGGUAGUUUAAUAAAUUUCAUGCUUCAAAAAAAAAAAACAUGUGUAACCUUCAUCUACACAUCCAUAUAACUUGUGUAUUUUAUUCGGGGUUUUUCCAUCUCUGAGUUUACUUUUUUCCAA